rnacentral:lncRNA from 1 species
GUAGAGGGAGACUCUUAGAAAACCUCCAGAGGGCUAGCUUAUCAGACUCUUGAGAAGACCUCGAUGACUUCGAGGUAGGACUAGCUUACUAGACCCCUACAGAGCUCGAGUCAUACGAGAAAUGAUAGGAGACCCUUAGAAAACCUUCAGAGGGAUAACUAAUCAGACCUUCAAAAUGCCAUCGAGAGUGCAAGAUGUUGUAGGCACAAGCUUGCCACUGGCACAUACUGCAUCUCGCAUGAAGAUGAGAAGUGCUAUGUACCAUAGGCACA